UACAAAUCAACUUCAAGGAAUUGAGUUGCCUAGAGUCUUUUCCUAAAGACAGGGGAAGUAAAAAUAUAUACUUUUGGGGGGCUGGGGCUUCAAUAUUUGCUUAGCUUGUACCAGACCCUGGGUUCAGUGUCCAGCAUUGUAACUAAGUCUGUCUCAUAAUCAUGCAUCCAAGGCGCUUGUCUGCGUUUGUGACACACUAAAUUCUUCAAAUGUAUGGCUACAUAGCCAUAUAUGUGAUAUAUUUUGCUAUAUCCUAUGAAUGGACUUUGGUUUGUUUUCUGAGUAAAUCUUUUUCUUUUUCGCUUUUCUUUUUGAAUUCUCUGCUAGACCUGAUUUGUAGGGCCAUGAGGUUUGAAAGCAUCAUGUCUCCUAUCUGCCCGUGCUCCAAAUCACUCACAAGGUUCACACAGCUAAAUAAGUGUGGGAACACUCUAUAUUACAUGGAAUCAUUUCUACUUCAGUAAAAAAAAAAUAAAAAUAAAAAUAAAAAACAAAAAAAAAACAUACGAAAUGUACCACCAAAAAUUGAAAAUGCGAAGAUCCCGUAUUUAUUGGAUUCAUUAUAAUAAAUGUAUGAGUACUUUAUUUGGA
rnacentral:lncRNA from 1 species